UCUGUUUUGUUUUCGCAAUAAUAACUGCCUGUGACGAGACGAGUAUGUGUAGCGUGCUCGAGUGAAAUUAUUGUUUUUAAUGUUAGACGCGGUCCAAAACGGACUUUAGACGUGAAAAUGAGUUGCAGGACGGAAGUUUGGAACAUUUUAUAUCUUCCAGACGAAAUUUUAAUGAAAAUUAUUUCAAGCUUAAAUAUCGGAGAGAGGUUGCCUCUGGCAUAUUUUUGCAGGAGAUUUCAUACACUUUUGUUGAAUGACGAAUGGGCAUUGACGAAUUUAGACUUCUCCAAAGAUGGAUACCUCACAACAGUAUCAGAUGUGCACUCAUAUGUCUUCAAUAAACAGAUAUGUUAACAUAUACGGCGCUUGAAUUUUGCUGGCAUGUACUGCCCAGAGCCAGAGGAGAUAUUUAAGAGUAUCUCCGAGGCAAAAAAUCUCAUCGAACUCGACGUGUCAACUGUUUAAUUUGAAGAUUUCGAGCAAUUUUUAAAUCUGUUGUUUUCUCUUUAGAGAGGCUGAAAAAAUUAUCUAUCAUUUGGCUGACUGAAUGUAAAAACGAAAUACUGUAUCACGUAAUAUUGGUAGAAUCAUUAUGAAGACUUACCCGCUUGUCCAUAAGAUUGUGCAAUGUAAAUGACAAAUGGCACAUCAUCAGGUCGUUCGACGGAAUAAUUCAUUUGGAAGAACUCCGUUUGGUGCAGAUAUGCUUUGUUUCAGAACCUGAACGUCGAUAUAUUUGGCUAAGAAUACCAAAAAUCAUGCACAAACUCCGAUUAAUAGCAUGUCUUGGAUGUGAUACGAACUUUCUCGAACAAAUCAUCUUAGAUAUGUUGCCAAACCCUGAACGAUGGAUCAAUCUUAGUAAAGGUGAUUUCAGAAAAACACGUUACUUUCACUACGAAAAUCACAUUAAAAUUUCUAAGUACCUAAGCGAAAACAUUAUUCACACUGCUUCUACUUGGGAAAGUCUGUGAACGAUGUCGAAAGUUGAAAAGUGCAUAAGUUUUGAAACCAUACUGGAGGAAUUGAUGAGGAUUUCCAAACAUACAAUCUUGAACAGGAACUGCUUUCUGUCUAAAAAUAACGGUCCAGAUCAGUUCAUGCCAAGAAUUCAGCAUGUAAAGCUCUUGCUUGAAAAUCCAAGCCAACCAAUUUAUUACAUGAACGUGAACCAGAGCAUAGAGCAGAAUUCCCAGCUGCAUUUGAUAUUAUUAAUGUUUACAAGUUUGACGGAACUUGUUUUGUCCAACAUAAUAAUAAGCAAUCGUAUGAAGCAAAAAUAUAAAGAUUCUGAGGACGAGGAUUUAGAACCAGAAACUUCAUGUUUCCAUGCAAUAGUGCAAAAUAUUCCGAAUGUGAAAGCAUUGACGAUAAAUGCUGGAAUACUGGAGGACGCACAAUUGUGGGAUCUGGCCGCGCUUCGCAUGAUCGCAGGUUGGAGACACCUUACAAGUUUGCACCUGGUGAAAAUCCCGAUCAAAGAUGGUCAAUUCCUCGUGGAAAUAGCCGCACAGUGUAAAAAUUUGGAGAAAUUAAGGAUAUUAUAAUAUAAUAUAAUUAAGGAUUUAGGGCCACAAUCAACGUGCUGUUACACAAAAGAGUUGAUGCAAAUGCUGACAGUUUGCCACAACUUGAAAGACUUCUCGAUUGAACAGAGCAACUUCUGCCAAAUACCUCGUUUAUUCGAAACUCUCGCUAAAAAUCUGAAGCUCAAAAGAGUUUGUCUCAAAAGUUUGGGCAGAUCAAGAAAGUCACCGAACUUGACACCCUUCAUUGAAAAGUUAAUAUGAUCUUGUGAACUGGUAUUGUUUGUGUGCCAAUAUAAAGGAUUGGCUGAUGAUGCUUGUGAUGAAUUGAAAUCGAUUUUACAGAGUUUAAAGGUUGAAUUGAGUCGCCCGAGUUUCCAGUUUGAUGUCAUUAGAUGCAGCGGUCCUGGCAAAAAUCACGUUCUCAACUUUGAUCUUCAUUACUGUCACAAAGAUUUACUGGUUCCUUUCACCUAUGUCGACUCGCUAUACCGCCUAAAUAGUUGAAGGAAUUCUUAAUUAUAUCUUUUUAUUAUUAUUUGUCAUUAGUUAUCAGGAAAAAAAUGUACCAAUCAUUUUUUGAUGUUGUAUAGUAAAUUAGAGGUACUUAUCAAUUUAUUUAAUGCCAAAAUAACAUGUUAACUUUAUA
rnacentral:misc_RNA from 1 species